rnacentral:rRNA from 1 species
UACGUAGGGGGCAAGCGUUGUCCGGAUUUAUUGGGCGUAAAGGGCGCGUAGGCGGCUUUUCAAGUGACGGGUGAAAGCCCUCGGCUUAACCGAGGAACUGCCUGUCAGACUGGAAGGCUUGAGACCGGGAGAGGUGAGUGGAAUUCCCAGUGUAGCGGUGAAAUGCGUAGAUAUUGGGAGGAACACCAGUGGCGAAGGCGGCUCACUGGACCGGAACUGACGCUGAGGCGCGAAAGCGUGGGGAGCAAACAGG